CACCAAGCACACCGUCCAGGUCUGCAACAGGACCGAGGUCAGACCGGGUCAGACAAUAGAACCAAAGCGAUGGGAGGGGAGAUACCACACCUUUUAUCGCAGAAACGCCCCCCCCAGCCGGGGCUCACAGCUACACUGCCAGGGCUGCUGACAGGAACCAUGGAGGCAGCCGGGGCGUCGGUCCGCAGCGCUCACAGCGCUCUCCGCCCCAGCCGGGGUCGCACCUGGAGACACAAAGUGACGUCACUCUGGGGGUUCCAGAGGUUGGGGUCUCCCCGGGCAAAAAUGUAAAAAGCCAUGGGUUAAAAAUGCAAUUGUGAGGAGACUCCGAGCCUCUUCUAUCUGUGUCUGGCCUGUUAGCCACAUUAGCAGUGACUUCACCGGGUGUCAGCAGGACUCUACUAAGCUUCAUCAUCACACGAAAGAUACUUCAUCAACCAACCAAUCCAAUUCCUUAAAGUGAGGAAGAGGAAGGAUGAGGUGUGACCUUACCUUGACCUCUGCAGGCUCCGACGAUGAGGAGGAUAAAGACGCAGCAGCUCAGCAAGAAGGAUGACGCUCUGACUGGAGACAUGUUGGAGACCUGG